GCGUCACUGGCGUAACUACGAAGUCAAUAACGUUAAAUGCUGCGUUGUUGGCGUAGCUACGAUUUGAAGCAGAUUAACUUUAACAGUAUUCAUUUAAUUCUGCUUUAUUUUCAGCUAACAGCUAACUCCAGAUGAGUUUAGAUACUCUCUUUCAACAAAUCCUUUUAACCGAACAAAAGUUAACAGAACAGACACACAAAUUCAAAGAAGUCAAAGUAGCCGUCAUCAGAUGCAAUGAGAAGCUCAAAACCGCUACUGAAAAGUAUGAAAAGAUUUCCGCUGCGCUUGAUGAAAAGGCUCAGCAUUUGUCUGCGAUGAGUCUGCAGCACCAUCUGAUGAAGAAAUGUGAAAACCAGAUGUUACAGCAAAUUGAGGACAUGCUCUGUCAGAAAAGCAGCUUCGAGGAAUGUCUAGCCAAAAUAAAGAAGGAGUCCAAAGAUGAAGAGGAAAAUUUUCUUCAAGAGAUCUCAAGGUUCAACAGUGACUUCAGUCUUCGUGGGAACAGAGAGACAGUGUUUGAGAGCCAAACACACACUGAGAUCCUGGACCUGGAGAGGGAGAUGGAAGCAUUAUACAAAGAGAUGGAGCUGAUGAGCCACAGGAACGGUCCCAUGAGCUCCCUUCAGAAAGAGAAGAAAGCUCUGCUCUUCGAACUUCACAUUCUGGAUAAGACAGUAAAAGACUUGGAUCGGCAGUUGAGCGAGGCUCAAGUAACGACGGAAUCUUUGAAAGUGGAGAGCUCGUUUGUCAGUCAGAAAUCUCUUACUGACAGCACCUGUCUGAGUUACAACCAGUGUAACAUUUUCCUCAACUGGAGGCUUCUUCUUGAUUUAUUGCUCUCGGUUUUUUCUACCUUUGGUCGUGUCCUGUGGGGCUUCCUUCCAUGUGUCCUCGGUCCCUGGGGAGAGCAACAACACAUACAGGUUGCAGUGACUAGGCAGCAUUCACUGCAGCUUAUUAGAGCAGAGCUGCAGUUUGAGAAAAGAGUUGGAGACGUAUAAAGAGCAAGAGCUUCGGCGAGAGGCGCUCGCCUCAGAGAUCCGCUUCCUGCAGUCAGAGCUGGACGGCAGCCAAGGAGCGAAGCAACAUUAGGUUUGGCAAAAUAACACAGAAAUUACACUGUCGUGAGGUUUAUAUUCUGUUAAACAAAGAAACAUGCCAUCGAAGGCACACAAGAUAGAAGGAUGUUAAAUGUAUUCUAAUGCCUUCAUGAGGAGUGGAUGAUCAUCAAUAGAGGUCUAAGUGGUUUGUGUAACCUAAAAAAAGGUAAAACUAAAAUGAUUGGUUGUCUUGGUUACUGCCUACAAACAGUUUUAAUAUAAAGUGGUGCCUUCA